rnacentral:misc_RNA from 1 species
GCUGCACUCAACAGGUGAACCAAAUACCUCCUAAGUUGACAUAAGCCGAAACUGAUGCGGUGAUUGAUGACUUUGUAUAAAUUAAUUUACGUAAAAAUUUGAGUUUAAUUUUUAUAAAUUUUAAUGUUUAAAAAUAAAUUAACAUUUAAUUGUAUUUUAAAGUCUCUAAUUGUUAAUUUUUGGCAUUUAUCCCUCAAACUAUAAGAGAUUGAGAAUGCGUCAAGACCUGCUUUCCCUCCUUGUAGAGCCUUUGUAUCUGGCUUAUUGUUCUUGACCAUGUAG